GCCCCUGUAGCUCAGUGGUAGAGCGCGUCACUCGUAUUUCCCGACAUGACGAGGUCCAUCGUUCAAUCCGGUGUGGGGGCA